CCGACAUGAGCUGCCCUAAUUUUUUUUCUGUCGGUUUGUGUUUCUGCUCUUCACCAUCAGCUUCCUCUCCACUAUUGAUUUUCUCUACUCGCCGUUGGCCUAUGUUUUUCCUCAUCUUCACGUUCAUCCAUUGCAGUGGGUAGCUCACUAGAUCCUUCUCCCUUGUCACCGUCCCUUGUCUUCUUCCUUGCCUUGGGUCAGCGUGUAAAGCUCAUCUCUUUUCCUUCUUCGACAUCGGCCACGUGUUGAUUUAAAAUUUUGGCCACUGUACUUUGGUUUAGGAUCUUUGCCAUCGGCUUCCUCUAUUUGCGUUGCUGUUUCGCAGUUGAAACUGGGAGAUUGCUGGAUUCGCUCCCUUGUUUGGUCGUUCUUUGCCUCUUCCCUGUUCGUGGCUGACAGUAAUGCGUGGUGCUGUCUCUUCUUUGAUUUUUGUUGCUGUGGAUUAGUGUAAGAGGUUCCUUUCUUCUUCCCCUGUUCAGCACAGCGAAUUCGUCCUUCCUCCUUUCUUAUUCUACCGUAAUUGAUUGAAGUGUCUAGAGAAAGAGGAUCUUGAUAAAAGGGAUAAGGAGUAAGUUAUAAAUUUUGAGGAGUAUUUCAGGUGGCAUGUGACUUGUGCAUCAAUUGGGCAAUUGAGGUCAACACUCCUUGAGGACAAUGGCUGAUGGUUUGCACGUGAAUUAUGAUUAUUUUGAGGGAUUAGAUCAGCUAAAAUGAUGUGGAUGACACAUGGGAAAUUAGGCACACAUUGGAAUCAUCUACAAACUAAUAGGAAGUUGCCACCUUGCAAGUGUGACAAGCUCCCAUUUACAUUUUAAUUUCUUUUUCCUUAUUUUAAUUAAGCUUCAGCUGAUGGGAGACACCAAGGAGCACGCCAUUUUAAGUCCCAAAUGGGAUCCAACACAUAUCUCAUUCAUCUUCCACAUUCUCUCUCUCUUGUUCAUAGUGUUCUUCAUUUUCUCUCUUUUGUUCUUCAUUUUCCAGCAUCCUAACCUCCAUUUUCAGUCACCAAACCUCCACAAAACUCAUACCAUUUUUCUCCUCUCUUCAUUUUCGUUCCAUCCCUUCCAUUUUCACAAGGAUUGAAGCUCAUUUCCAUCAUUCAAGAGCUAUGGAGUUUGGCCUUCACAAGCAAUCACUAGGGUUUUUGAAGAUGAAGAUUGGCUAAGUUUCUUUGUGGAAUCCUAGAGAGAUGAAGAUGGAGGAUGAGUCUUGAGCUUCAAAUUGGCUAAGUUCUUUUGUUUCCUAUCCUCUUCUCUUUUUACUAGAUAGUUAGAUUCCUUAAUCUAGGGUCUAAUCAUCUUAGCUUAUAAAUUCUAAUUUGAAUUUGAUGUUGAUGUAAAGAGAGAGGAUUGUUUCAUUUAAUUUCUUCCUUGGACAGCCAUGACUGAAUUUUGCCACUCUUUGUUUGGCACAUAAUCUUGUGUUUUUCAAUUAGUGAAUUUCUUGUGUUAA